GGGCCUAUAUCUCCCAUUAGCACACAUUAGGUCAAACUCCACACAGCAGUUACUUCCCUUGGGCAUUCGCCAAUCAUUAAUGUCUUUUUCUAGAAUAAGGGAGGCCACUGCGUAUGAGAUUGACCAACCUCGGCGCAGUGAUUUACCGGGAACCAGCAUAGCAACGAACGACAACUCUGUAAUAAAAAUUGCCAAUUUUCGCGGUUAAACUUAAAAAGAGUCCAUGUCAACUGCUGACAGUGAAGAGCCAGGCAGUCUGACCCAUGAUAGGAAGGAGCCAAGUGAAGAGCCAGCCAGUCUGACCCACGAUAGGAGGGAGCCAAGUGAAGAGCCAGCCAGUCUGACCCAUGAUUCUUGACAUGACUCAUGGUGAACUAAAAUUGCUUGCAAAGCAUCUGGGACAUGAUGUGAAGACCCACAAGGAAUAUUAUCAGUUGUCUUCCAGUACCAUGGAACUCUCAAAGGUUGCCCUGAUGUUGUAUGCUGUUGAAAAUGGUAAAGUCAAUGAGUGGAAGGGAAGGCAGAUGAAGGACAUAGUAGUAGAAGAUUUACCUCUUCCAAUUGAAGAC